GUUUAUGGCCAUGCCACUCUGAAUGUGCCCGAUCCCAUCUGAUCUCGAAGGCUAAGCAGGGUUGGGCCUGGUUAGUACUUGGUUGGGAAACCACCUAGGAAUACUAGGUGCUGUAGGUG
rnacentral:rRNA from 1 species